UGCGGGUGGGGCAAGCGUUGUUCGGAAUUACUGGGCGUAAAGGGCUCGUAGGCGGCCAACUAAGUCGGAUGUGAAAUCCCCAGGCUUAACCUGGGAACUGCAUUCGAGACUGCAUUGCUAGAGUAUGGGAGAGGGAAGUGGAAUUUCCGGUGUAGCGGUGAAAUGCGUAGAUAUCGGAAGGAACAUCAGUGGCGAAAGCGACUUCCUGGACCAAUACUGACGCUCAUGUGCGAAAGCGUGGGGAGCAAACAGG
rnacentral:rRNA from 1 species